rnacentral:rRNA from 1 species
GCAUCUUCUUGUUUUUAAAAGACCUAGCAAUAGGUAUGUUUAGGGAGGAGCUUGCGUCACAUUAGUUAGUUGGUGGGGUAAAGGCCUACCAAGACUAUGAUGUGUAGCUGGGCUGAGAGGUUGAACGGCCACAUUGGGACUGAGACACGGCCCAAACUCCUACGGGAGGCAGCAGUAGGGAAUUUUCGGCAAUGGAGGAAACUCUGACCGAGCAACGCCGCGUGAACGAUGAAGUAUUUCGGUACGUAAAGUUCUUUUAUUAGGGAAGAAUAAAUGAUGGAAAAAUCAUUCUGACAGUACCUAAUGAAUAAGCCCCGGCUAACUAUGUGCCAGCAGCCGCGGUAAUACAUAGGGGGCAAGCGUUAUCCGGAAUUAUUGGGCGUAAAGGGUGCGUAGGCGGUUAAAUAAGUUUAUGGUCUAAGUGCAAUGCUCAACAUUGUGAUGCUAUAAAAACUGUUUAGCUAGAGUAAGAUAGAGGCAAGUGGAAUUUCAUGUGUAGUGGUAAAAUGCGUAAAUAUAUGGAGGAACACCAGUAGCGAAGGCGGCUUGCUGGGUCUUUACUGACGCUGAGGCACGAAAGCGUGGGGAGCAAACAGGAUUAGAUACCCUGGUAGUCCACGCCGUAAACGAUGAGUACUAAACGUUGGGUAAAACCAGUGUUGAAGUUAACACAUUAAGUACUCCGCCUGAGUAGUACGUACGCAAGUAUGAAACUUAAAGGAAUUGACGGGACUCCGCACAAGCGGUGGAUCAUGUUGUUUAAUUCGAAGGUACCCGAAAAACCUCACCAGGUCUUGACAUGCUUCUGCAAAGCUGUAGAAACACAGUGGAGGUUAUCAGUUGCACAGGUGGUGCAUGGUUGUCGUCAGCUCGUGUCGUGAGAUGUUGGGUUAAGUCCCGCAACGAGCGCAACCCUU